CUCUGCUUCAAUUCAGCAACAUCAGGUAAUGUUCAUUUGUUGAUUAAUGGUUUUCUUUCGUUUUUGAUCUACUGCUGAAUAUUUUUAUAAAAUCGUUUUUCUGUUUUAGCGUCAGCUACGUUGACACAAAGACAUCUGCUGUGAUGCUUACACCUUAGAUAAAGUCUCGAAAGUGUCAGCUUUCUUUUUUUAGUUAUAAAAAUAUGCAAAUGUACUGAUCGAUGAUCUGAAUUAUACUAUUGACUGACUGUCUGAGGCUAACAGUUACACAAUCAUACCAAAACUCUGUCCUGAUAGUUUCCACUUUCUCUUUUGUAUCAGACAUACUGAGACAAUAUUCGGGAUAAAUAACCACGAAAACAAUUUAUUUAUUCAGUUUAGAGGUUUACACAUCACAUCAAUACAAUCACAGAGCCCGUUUCACUUGAAUCGUCCACUUGAUGGCGCAGUAGAGCAAAUGAAUCAUCACAAUGCUUCGAAACAUGAGUCGACCAGUUGGAUGGAAAGCUUCAGUUCAUCACGAGUGUCUUUCCAUAUGAAGUGGACGUUUCUUUUCUAAAUAAACAGAACAGCUUUUAAACACUUUACUAGAAAUUUUACAUUUACCAAACACAAAUCAACUUUUCUAGUUUAUUUAAAAACAAUCCUUUUUAUUUGGAUAAAAACGGGUAUACGGAGGAAGGUCACAAGUCCCAGUUUUACACUGGGACAUGAACGCAGCUUCCGUUUGGGGACUCGGGACGACGUCAUCAACAAGCGCCACAAGAGCUCUUCACAAAAAUCUGCCUGGUUUCAGGUUAGUCGGCUCACAUUUAGAACCCUCGACACAGAAGAGACUGCAACGCUAGUGUGGACCUGAUAGCAAAACCAAUCGAUGCUUGUAUCGAUCCGCUCAGCCUGAGUUGAAGCAGCAAUGAGUUCAGUUCAGUAUCUGAGAGAGUUCAUCAAGGAGAGACUAACUGCUGUUUGUGAAGAAAUCUUCUCAGAGGUUCAAAAAACCAUCGUCCAGUAUGAGGAGGAGAUCAACCGUCAGCACAGACUGCUGGAUAUCAGCCGGAAACCCGACAGAAACUCACACAUCAUAGACCUCCCACAUCAUCAUGACUGUGAAGAAGAGGAGGGUCUGUAUGAGCAGCAGGUCUGUAACCAGGAGAGUAACUCCAGUCUGGACCAGGAGGACCCAGAGCCUCCACAGGUUAAAGAGGAACAGGAGGAGCUCUGCAGAAGUCAGGAGGGAGAGCAGCUUGGACUGAAGCAGGAGGCUGAAGGCAUUAUUGUCUGGACUGAUGAAGAGCAGCUCAGACUGAUGGAGACCAUCUGGGAACCUGUGAUAAAGUUACACAGAAUAGGUAUGUAAAACCAGGGCUCUAGAGUGCGACCAAAUUUCUCAGUGGUGUGACUUAAAAAAAUCCCAGGUCACACCGGUGCAACCAGCUGUUCAGUACAAAAGAAAAAAAGUCUCAGCAACUGUGAAAGUCUCCGUGUGGUCAACAACAGACACACAUUAUGCCCAUAUCGUGGUCUAAACCAUGGGACCUCUCUGAUUGGCCGUGGUCCAGAUAUUCCUGUAGUCCAGGGGUCCCCAAUCCCAGUCCACGAGGGCCGGUGUCCCUGCAGGUUUUAGAUCUCACCCUGGGUCAACACACCUGAAUCACUUGAUUAGUUCAUUACCAGGCCUCUGGAGAACUUCAAGACAUGUUGAGAAGGUAAUUUAUCCAUUUAAAUCAGAUGUGACGCAUCUGAUUGUGCCCCUGCAGGUUUUAGGUGUGUCUAAAACCUGCAGGGACACCGGCCCUCAUGGACUGGGAUUGGGGACCCCUGCUGUAGUCCUUCACGUGUGUACGUUUGAAAGUGAAUAAAGGCAUAUCGAUUAACUAAAUCCUGAAUCGACUUUUAAGUAUAAAUGUAUUUAGCCAAAAACGGCAGAAUCUCAGGUUAAAGCUGGUUAAACCAAACAGCUGAAUCAGUAAAUGAAAGCAGGUGCACUGAUUCUGCACAAAGACGUAAACACAGAGCGCAGACCCACUUACACAUCAGAAUCAGUGAGAAGUUUUUUUUCUCACCCGACGUGACAUACACGGACACGCCGACAGCAAACAGAUUCUGCGUCUGCGCCGGGUCCCUCCUCCGUGUUUACGUCUUUUUGUUUGUUUGUUUGCUGCAGGUUUCUGACUGAACCAGCAGCAAAAGAAGAUCAAAACUACAUUUCACAUAUAAUAAAUAUUGUCAUGAAUUCCCUCUUACUUUUGAUGUUUUUGAUUCCACCACGAUAAAAAUCCCACUUCCUCUCUCUCUCUCUGUACUUCAAGAACAGGUUCCCAUCUCAAAUCUCUGUUUUCUGCAUUAUUCGUUUGCUUAACCCUUUAAGACCUACCAUAGAACCAAGUCCGCCAGAGCUUAUAUUAUAUUUUUACAUGCUGUAGAGCCAUUUUUGGGAGCAUUUCAAGUUGAUAUACAUCAAUACAACCAUUAUAGCCCAAAUUGUAAUAAUAUGUAUGCAUUAAGUGCUUAGUAAUUACAUAAAUUGCAAAAAAGUGCAAUAAACUACAAAAAAAUUGAAAAUCGUUUUUGUUUUUUUAACAUAUAUUUCUAGUUAGAGAAAUUUAAGAGGCUUAUCCCUCAAAACUGUAAAUACAAAAAAGUUGCACAAAAUAGUUUCCCACCACAGGAAAUUUAUUUUGAGUGUUUUCAUAGUUUUAUUUUUGAAAUACACCAAUUUUUAUAUACUGCAGGAAAAAUGAAAAUAAAUAUUAUAAUGCAAAUUUGCAAAAAAGCAACAUAUGCAUCAAAAUAAACUAUUUCCAGCAGUGCAAUUUGAGUUCUAAGCAUCCCAGAAAUGACACAGAAAGUCAUAAAGUCAAAGAUAACUUUUAAAAACACCAGUAUAGGCUCUGAGGCCCUGAUAGUAAAAAAAACUACAUUUCCGCGAAAAUGACGUCACUUCCGGUUUCGGACAGGUAAUGGCGGACAUGCGAAAGUUCACGCUGACGUCUAUUCCAACAUAGGAAGUGUUACAAACAGCUGAUCGGAUCGGCAAAACGUGUUUCUGGAAUAUUAUGUUUUUGUUGCUGCAAGCGCUUUUUAUGCAGUUUUUGCAAAGCUAUAUGUGGAAGAAAACCGUGACCUAGGACAAGCUGAUGGCAUAAGAUGUAAGUACAACUCCUCCGGUUUCAUAUGCAAAAAAAAUUAUUGCUCUAGCCUAAGUGGUUGCAGAGCUACCGGGAUUUAAAAAUAGUUACGCAAAACGGAGCGUGCCCGCUCCGACCGGUUUUACACAAGUCGUGUACAGCUCUGUCGGCCAUUGUUGUUUCGUUUUUUUUGCUUUCUUUUUUCCAAAAAAUGACCUCUGACAAGAAAGCCUCAUUUCUGCUCUUUAAUGACGAAGAAAUUGAAACUCUUUAAAAUUAUGCUAAAUUGCAAAACACUUUGCUGUCUCUAAUCAAACCCUCUAACUUUGCUUUGCUUCACUUCAGCAGCAUUGGGUAAUGUUCAUAUGUUGAUUCAUGGUUUUCUUCAGUUUUUGAUCUACUGCAGAAUAUUUUUCAGGCGGUUAUUGCCUAUAAAAAGCCAGGUCAGGAAAAUCUCCUUGAUGUUUUUCUGUGUUUUUAUUCUCAGUUACUUUGACACAAAGGCAUCUGCUGUGAUGCUCACAAUUCUGACGAAGUCUCACAUGAUCAGAAAUGAAAGAGAAAUGGAUUAUAGAAAUCAGUGACGAUACACAGCCCUAGUGAGUAGCCUAGGCCUAACAGAAGUGGAUGUAGCUGUGGGCAAUGAGAAAAGAUGAAAAGAACAAUUGAUAACUCUUUUGCUAAGUUAAGGCCUGAUCCGUCUGAAAUUCAUAGCCAGUGCUGUGAUACGGACAUUAUAUGUCGUGAUAAAUGUACUGCCCAAGUGUCCCCUCUCCCCACUGCCUUUCUUGUAGAGCUGUGCUCCAAGUAAAGAACUUUGUUUUGACAAGAUUGCUAGUAAAUCGUUUACAAAUUAAUGUUGGACAGCAGUUAAAAAAAAUUGAACAUUUAAAACUGUGGUCAGAGGUCCGGGUGAAUAUCCUGAUGGCAUGAGUGAGAGCAGUGAGUCCAUCCUGGGUGAUCCAGGGAUGAUGGAGGCAGGAGGUCUGGAAGGUGAAGCUAGAUGGAAAACAGAGCAUUGCUUUUGUACUCUCUUUGACAGUGUCAGUCUUACUUGUGCCUUUGU
rnacentral:lncRNA from 1 species